CUACGGGUUGCACCAGGCGCGAAACCUUUACAAUGCACGAAAGUGUGAUAGGGGAACUCAAAGUGCUUUACUUAGGUAAGGCUUUUGCCAAGUCAAAACCGCUUGGCGAAUAAGUGGUGGGUAAGACGGGUGCCAGCCGCCGCGGUAACACCUGCGCCACAAGUGGCAACCACGUUUAUUGGGCCUAAAGCGUCCGUAGCCGGUUUUGUAAGUCUUCUGUGAAAUUGUUAAGCUUAACUUAACAGCGCGCAGAAGAUACUGUAAAACUAGGAACUGGGGGGAGUCAGAAGAAUUUCUGGGGGAGCGGUAAAAUGUUAUAAUCCCAGAAAGACUACCAGUGGCGAAAGCGUCUGACUAAUACAGAUUCGACGGUGAGGGACGAAAGCCAGGGGAGCAAUCCGGAUUAGAUACCCCCGUAGUC
rnacentral:rRNA from 1 species